UCAACUGCCUAACUUAGGCCUACCUAUUGAAGUACAGUUGUUAAUAAAUUCUCUGUACACGAGCCCAUUUCAAGUGGAAAAGUUUUGCCUGUAACUUAACUGGCUAAUUAUUUGCGGGCAGUUGGUGGAGCAAGUGUAGAGGACCUGACGAGAAGGAUUCUAGCCUACAUUUUCACAAACGAUUAAGCAAAUUUUACUAUGUCAUAUAACUUAAGGGCACACUAGCUUUACCACACAGGGACUAAGUAUUGUGUUAACUUUGCUGUGUACAUGUUUUUUAAUUACAAUAGUAAAAACAAAAUUAAGCAGUGUAUUCUAUAUUAUUUUUCAGUUUAAAAAUGGAACUAUUUAUUUUUUCAUUCAUGUAGUGCAUGACUAUUGCAGAAAUGACUAUUGUAAAUAUUGUACAAUUGAUGGAAAAAUAACAUAUUCUUAUUCUUACAACAAA